CAGUAGCCGCGGUAAUACGGAGGGUGCAAGCGUUAAUCGGAAUUACUGGGCGUAAAGCGCACGCAGGCGGUCUGACAAGUCAGAUGUGAAAUCCCCGGGCUUAAUCUGGGAACUGCAUUUGAAACUGUCAGGCUGGAGUCUUGUAGAGGGGGGUGGAAUUCCAGGUGUAGCGGUGAAAUGCGUAGAGAUCUGGAGGAAUACCGGUGGCGAAGGCGGCCCCCUGGACAAAGACUGACGCUCAGGUGCGAAAGCGUGGGGAGCAAACAGGAUUAGAUACCCGUGUAGUCCCUGUCUCUUAUAA
rnacentral:rRNA from 1 species